AACGUAGGUGGCGAGCGUUAUCCGGAUUUACUGGGCGUAAAGGGUGUGCAGGCGGGCUGUUAAGUGGUGUAUGAAAUAUCCCGGCUCAACCGGGAAGGGUUAUGCCAGACUGGCAGUCUAGAGAGCGAGAGAGGGACGUGGAAUUCCGGGUGUAGUGGUGAAAUGCGUAGAUAUCGGGAGGAACACCAGUGGCGAAGGCGACUACCUGGCCUGUUCUUGACGCUGAGGCGCGAAAGCUAGGGGAGCAAACGGG
rnacentral:rRNA from 1 species